UACGAAGGGGGCUAGCGUUGCUCGGAAUCACUGGGCGUAAAGGGUGCGUAGGCGGGUCUUUAAGUCAGGGGUGAAAUCCUGGAGCUCAACUCCAGAACUGCCUUUGAUACUGAAGAUCUUGAGUUCGGGAGAGGUGAGUGGAACUGCGAGUGUAGAGGUGAAAUUCGUAGAUAUUCGCAAGAACACCAGUGGCGAAGGCGGCUCACUGACCCGAUACUGACGCUGAGGCACGAAAGCGUGGGGAGCAAACAGG
rnacentral:rRNA from 1 species